rnacentral:tRNA from 1 species
UAGGGAUUAUGAAAAGAAACAGCUGCUAACUGAAUUCUAAAGCGGUUUAAUUCCGUUUAUCUCUUC